rnacentral:rRNA from 1 species
GACGAACGCUGGCGGCGUGCCUGAUACAUGCAAGUCGAACGAACCGCGACUAGGUGCUUGCACUUGGUCAAGGUGAGUGGCGAACGGGUGAGUAACACGUGGGUAACCUACCUCAUAGUGGGGGAUAACAGUCGGAAACGACUGCUAAUACCGCAUAGGACAUAGGAUCACAUGAUUCUGUGAGGAAAGGUGGCGCAAGCUAUCGCUAAGAGAUGGACCCGCGGUGCAUUAGCUAGUUGGUAGGGUAAAGGCCUACCAAGGCGAUGAUGCAUAGCCGACCUGAGAGGGUGAUCGGCCACAUUGGGACUGAGACACGGCCCAAACUCCUACGGGAGGCAGCAGUAGGGAAUCUUCCGCAAUGGACGCAAGUCUGACGGAGCAACGCCGCGUGAGUGAAGAAGGUCUUCGGAUCGUAAAGCUCUGUUGUUAGAGAAGAACAGCGCAUAGAGUAACUGUUAUGCGUGUGACGGUAUCUAACCAGAAAGCCACGGCUAACUACGUG